ACUAUACUAAUGGAACACCAGCUUCGAGAUUUUAUGAUCAGAGUGCCGUCGCGCAUCAUUUUCGCGCACCAUACCAAUUUGAAAAAUCGAUGAGGAUGCCAAAGAAGAAAUUUACUCCGAGAGCCACUUGGAUUGACCUUCAUUGAGAGUAAAACUUCCCCACACUAUAUUUUAUUAGAUCUGUAAAAACUUUAUCCAUUUUCUGACUAUCUGAUAAAAUAGAUACAAUUUCCCUGAAUAAUGGAUCGUCACAAAAGAUUUUUUUUUAAGGCCACUUCGUUAAAAUAGGUGUUUCCAGUACUUCCUCAUUUGGGUAUUUUACACAAAAUCUGGAAUUUUUUUUAUGUACAUGUCAUUUUUAUCAUCUGUCCCGCGCAACAAAACCAUCCACUUUUCCCGGUCACCAAUGUUCUUAACAAGAUAUCAAGAGAGAGAGGCUGGUCCAUUAUUUGCGUAGUCCAGCCAGCUUUUUUUUUUUUUGACAACCUUUUUUUCGUUCUCUCUCAUGAAGGAUAUGUUUUGAAAAUUAGUCUUACAAAAUACAAUUCCAAACCAACUCAUGCAGUUAUCGUCUUUUCACAGUUUUGAGGAGUCAUCCUUUUUGCUAGCCAGAGUGUUAAUUGGUAAAAGUGAAAAAAUUCAUUUUGUUUAAUUUUUUAAAGUAAAUAUUCAUAACUAUAUCUUUUAUAUAAUAAUAUAUUUUUAAAAUAAUAAUCUUGUAUAUAGACAUGCUUUAAUAGAUCUAAUAAAUGAUUAACUCGGACCUACCAAUAUGGGUAUAUAAAUACUUAAAUCUGGGUAUUUAAAAUUUUGAAUGCGAAUUUUUAAAAAACCGAACUUAUAUUGAUCUAGAUCUCUUGUAUAAUAUCUAGAAUAAUAUAGAUCUACAACACCUAGACUAAAGUUAAAGACUAAGACUUCACUUUCACAUCACAUUCACACGAUUAUUGAUACAGACAGUGAAUGAAACGAAUGCAGUGGUUAUACUGAUUAUACUUAAAGUGACGAUACUACUUACAGAUCUACCAGUUGAUAAACAUCAUCAUCAUAGAUAAUAAUCUACAUCUAUAAUCAUAGUGCCCUUUAUUUAGUCAAUAUAGUCAAGUCAAGAUAGUGGAACGUAAACUCGAAGGUUUAAUACAAUACGUUAUUAACAAGUAGAACCAAGGCAACCAGUUCUGAUGAUGUCCCAGAAUGGCUCAAGGAUCAUACUUAUACUAUUUCUACUCUCUGGGCAUCCAUUCAAUAUUUAAUUUAUGUUUGGAAAUGCAAGAAAAAGGCAUGCAUUCCUGAAAAGUCAAUGAUUGGUUGCACCUCUUAAAGAUAACUUUCUGUUAUGAGAAAAGAUGAGAUUCUUGGACUCCUGCAUAGCACCACCAGAAAGGAAAAUCCCAUCAUGUUGCAAAAUAAAAGUCUC